CCCUUAGAUGUUCUGGGCUGCACGCGUGCUACACUGAUAUUGCCAAUAUGUCAUUCUUAUCCGAAAUGGAUUGGGUAAUCAAGUAAUGAAAUUUCAUGCUUGGAAUCGGUAAUUGCAAUUUUAUCGUGAACGAGGAAUUCCUAGUAAGCACUAGUCAUCAGCUAAUGUUGAUUAUGUCCCUGCCCUUUGUACACACCGCCCGUCGCUACUACCGAUUGAAUGGCUUAGUGAGGCCUCAGGAUCCGCGCUUAAUGUGUGGAGAAUUUGGACAAACUACGUCAUUUAGAGGAAGUAAAAGUCGUAACA
rnacentral:rRNA from 1 species